rnacentral:rRNA from 1 species
GCUUCCCUCUUUCUUCGUGCCUAAUACAUGCAAGUAGAACGCUGAAGGAGGAGCUUGCUCUUCUGGAUGAGUUGCGAACGGGUGAGUAACGCGUAGGUAACCUGCCUGGUAGCGGGGGAUAACUAUUGGAAACGAUAGCUAAUACCGCAUGACAACAGUUAUUGCAUGAUAACUGUUUAAAAGGGGCAACUGCUCCACUACCAGAUGGACCUGCGUUGUAUUAGCUAGUUGGUGAGGUAACGGCUCACCAAGGCGACGAUACAUAGCCGACCUGAGAGGGUGAUCGGCCACACUGGGACUGAGACACGGCCCAGACUCCUACGGGAGGCAGCAGUAGGGAAUCUUCGGCAAUGGACGGAAGUCUGACCGAGCAACGCCGCGUGAGUGAAGAAGGUUUUCGGAUCGUAAAGCUCUGUUGUAAGAGAAGAACGAGUGUGAGAGUGGAAAGUUCACACUGUGACGGUAUCUUACCAGAAAGGGACGGCUAACUACGUG